CCAAUAGCGUAUAUUAAAGUUGCUGCAGUUAAAAAGCUCGUAGUUGAAUUUCGGGACCAAUAUGUCGGUCGUGCUUCGGUACGUACUGUCAUAAUUGGUUUCUCCCUUCUGAAGAACCUUGAUGUCAUUAAUUUGGUGUUUUGGGGAAUCAGGACUGUUACUUUGAAAAAAUUAGAGUGGUUAAAGCAGGCUCGCGCUUGAAUACAUUAGCAUGGAAUAAUGAAAUAGGACGUUUGAUUCUAUUUUGUUGGUUUCUAGGAUCGACGUAAUGAUUAAUAGGGAUAGUUGGGGGCAUUAGUAUUCAAUUGUCAGAGGUGAAAUUCUUGGAUUUAUUGAAGACUAACUACUGCGAAAGCAUUUGCCAAGGAUGUUUUCAUUAAUCAAGAACGAAAGUUAGGGGAUCGAAGACGAUCAGAUACCGUCGUAGUCUUAACCAUAAACUAUGCCGACUAGGGAUCGGAUGAUGUUAAUUUUUUAAUGACUCAUUCGGCGCCUUACG
rnacentral:misc_RNA from 1 species